AACGAACGCUGGCGGCAGGCCUAACACAUGCAAGUCGAACGCUCCGCAAGGGGAGUGGCGCACGGGUGAGUAACACGUGGGAACCUACCUUCUGGUACGGAACAACCAAGGGAAACUCUGGCUGAUACCGUAUACGACCUCCGGGUGAAAGAUUGAUCGCCGGAAGAGGGGCCCGCGUCCGAUUAGGUAGUUGGUGAGGUAACGGCUCACCAAGCCUGCGAUCGGUAGCUGGUCUGAGAGGANGACCAGCCACACUGGGACUGAGACACGGCCCAGACUCCUACGGGAGGCAGCAGUGGGGAAUAUUGGACAAUGGGCGCAAGCCUGAUCCAGCCAUGCCGCGUGAGUGAUGAAGGCCUUC
rnacentral:rRNA from 1 species